rnacentral:rRNA from 1 species
UACAGAGGGUGCGAGCGUUGUUCGGAAUUAUUGGGCGUAAAGCGCUUGUAGGCGGCACGUCAAGUCGCGUGUGAAAUCCCCAGGCUUAACCUGGGAAGUGCGCGCGAAACUGACGAGCUUGAGUGCCGGAGAGGGUCGCGGAAUUCCCGGUGUAGAGGUGAAAUUCGUAGAUAUCGGGAGGAACACCAGUGGCGAAGGCGGCGACCUGGACGGACACUGACGCUGAGACGCGAAAGCGUGGGGGGCAAACAGG